rnacentral:tRNA from 1 species
GGCACCAUAGUUCAGUGGUUAGAACGCUGGCCUCAUAAACCAGGGGUCGUGAGUUAGGUCCUCUCCUGGACCU